AUCGAAACGAUAGCUAGACUUCGGUUUAGUGGACAGUGGCAGACGGGUAGUAACGCGUGGGAAUCUACCUUUGAGUGGGGAAUAACAAUUAGAAAUGAUCGCUAAUACCGCAUACACCCUCCGGGGGAAAGGCUUCGGCCGCUCUUAGAUGAGCCCGCGUACGAUUAGUUUGUUGGUGAGGUAAAGGCUCACCAAGACUACGAUCGUUAGCUGGUUUGAGAGGAUGAUCAGCCACACUGGGACUGAGACACGGCCCAGACUCCUACGGGAGGCAGCAGUGGGGAAUAUUGGACAAUGGGCGAAAGCCUGAUCCAGCCAUGCCGCGUGACUGAAGAAGGCCUUAGGGUUGUAAAACUCUUUCGACAGGGAAGAUAAUGACGGUACCUGUAUAAGAAGCUCCGGCUAACUCCGUGCCAGCAGCCGCGGUAAUACGGAGGGGGCAAGCGUUGCUCGGAAUUACUGGGCGUAAAGCGAGCGUAGGCGGUUAGUCAAGUUGGUGGUGAAAGCCCGGAGCUCAACUCCGGAACUGCCAUCAAAACUGACUUACUUGAGAUUGGUAGAGGAAAAUGGAAUUCCUAGUGUAGAGGUGACAUCCGAGAUAUUGGGAAGAACAUCGGUGGCGAAGGCGAUUAUCUGGGCCAUAUCUGACGCUGACGUUCGAAAGCGUGGGUAGCCAACGGGAUUACAUACCCUGGAUAAUCACGCCGAUAACCAUGAGUGCUAGACAGUGGAACAUCAUUUUCCGAGUCCCAAGUAACGCAUUAGCCUCCA
rnacentral:rRNA from 1 species